rnacentral:lncRNA from 1 species
AAAGAACCCUCCGGUGAAUUUGGCCCAUCCUUCGGCGGUUUGGAGCUGGUCGGGCUCCUUCUUGCGGCCGGUUAAGGUCAAAGAAGGAGCUGUGGAUGGUUCUCCCUCCUUGAAGGAUGCAAUGCCGUACAUGGUUAAGCAAACACUGAGGAUGACAACAAGACCAGCAGCUGCCAAGGAGCCAGCUGCCCCAGCUACUUCGGUGUUCCUCAAUGGGCCUGCCUUGACGAAUGGGCCGACCAAGAGAUAUCCAUGAGCCAGGCCCACCUCAACUCCCCUCAAAAGUGGGCUCACUGCUGUUCUGUAGGCAGGGAGGUUGGAGAGGUACCAUGCAAUCAAGGGGCUUGAUGUCACCGGAGUCUCCAAGCUUCCAAUGAAAGGGUCACCAUUGAUUGGUUGAAUCACUUGGAAUGGCUGCAAGUUCCAUCAAACCACAAUAGUAAUUUACAACAUGUAUUUACUACUUUUGAGUGAUUUACUUUCCAAAAUUGUUGAUAACAUGUUGCCAUUGGACAAUAUGAUGUAGCACUAUGUUCUAGAUUUAGGGUUGUAGAUCGAGUUAGCCGGUUAGUUUCAUAAUAAGAGAAAUGCAUACACUUACCUUGUCGGUUUGGGUGGCUUUGAUGGUGAAGGAAGAGGAUCUCUUAGAAGGAAAGAGCUUGAGUGGAGAGGCAGAGAGGCCCUUGGGAGCAAGCAAAGCUCUGGAAACUGGGGAGGUGAAGGUGGACUUGAGCUGGCUGGCCAUUGGUGCAGCACUGGCCAUGGCUGUCUGCUUUGAACAAGACUACAAGCUAACAAUUGUAAAGAAAGAGUAGCAGAAGAGAACUAGUGAGCGACAAAGUGAAAGCCCCAAAGGGAGUGAGAUAUGAUAUUGGAGAGGGCAGGCCAAGUAUUUUUGCCAAGUGUGAGAGUGAGAGAUUGUGGCUGGCAUAGACCCCUCUGAUUUCAUUGGAUCAACUGCAACUAAAAUCUUAUCCCUUAUCCAUACUUCUUUUAUUUUUAUGUGGUUUCAUUAUAAUUUUCUAUUUGUUAUGAAAUUUGGAAAAUAUUGUUUUGGGCAUGAGAUUUGUUGGGCUCAUAUGGACUUUGUUUUUCUAGUGGAAUGUGGGUUUUGUCAAUCAAUCUGGUCUGCUUAGAAGCCAGCUCUAAAAACACCAUCAGCCCACAGACUUGCAAAACAACUCAGCAUUCAGCUGCUGCAGCCUGCUUGACUACCCACCAUUUUCUCCAUUUUAAACAAGCUAGGAAGAGUUUUGAUCAUAAUAUUAGAGAACAUCUUCAGUACAUGGUGUGUAUCUUCAUAUACAUAUACAUAUAUAUAUGGUGUGUAUCUUCAUAUACAUACAUAUAUAUAUUGUUAAUAUUAGAGAAAAUAAUAUAGAAACAUGGUGGUCAAACAUAUGAAUUGUUAUGAACAAUUAAGAUUACGUUGUGUAAAUACACGUCGUGCAUACUAGUAAUCCAACAUAAUAUUACUGUGAAAUGAAAGCAGUGAUCAACAAGCUGAAAUAUGAUCAAGGUGCAAGUAAUUGACAAGCAUACUUGAAUAUGUACACAGGGUUUGAGUGUUUGACAAGUCAUGUAAAAUUGAAGAUGGUUUGAUCAGGUUGUUCAUGCAUGCUGGGUGACCACUGGAAUUAUUCAAACACAGAGAAAUUCAAGAGUCAAUUGGAUUCUGAUUCUGUGUGAGAUGCAUAUUUACUGGAAGAUAAAGAAAGGGUCAACCGAGCUAGCUUGAUUAGCAGCCAUCCGAAUUCGAAAGCAGCCAUGGAAGGAGCUCGGAAUCUCAUGUGAAUGAUUCUAUUAUUCGAGGAUGUAAAGAAAGCUGAUGUAGGUAUCCAGUGAAUCUGAAAGAAGAAGACACAACUACUUUUCAAUAUGCACGCUUAAAUCAACAUGUCCUUUUGGCUUUUGCAUAUGCAUACCAUUCUCCUCUGUGACCCAGUCUGAUGGCUCCGGUCAAAAUAUACGGAUCAUAUCUGAAUUUGCACAAGCAGAAUCAAAUCACUUUUCUCAGACCCACUUAGUGGCCACUUGGGAAUCCUUAUUCAUAAUUUAGUAAAGGAGAAAAUGAAGGU